rnacentral:rRNA from 3 species
GGGCGUUAAGUUGCAGGGUAUAGACCCGAAACCCGGUGAUCUAGCCAUGGGCAGGUUGAAGGUUGGGUAACACUAACUGGAGGACCGAACCGACUAAUGUUGAAAAAUUAGCGGAUGACCUGUGGCUGGGGGUGAAAGGCCAAUCAAACCGGGAGAUAGCUGGUUCUCCCCGAAAGCUAUUUAGGUAGCGCCUCGUGAAUUCAUCUCCGGGGGUAGAGCACUGUUUCGGCUAGGGGGCCAUCCCGGCUUACCAACCCGAUGCAAACUGCGAAUACCGGAGAAUGUUAUCACGGGAGACACACGGCGGGUGCUAACGUCCGUCGUGAAGAGGGAAACAACCCAGACCGCCAGCUAAGGUCCCAAAGUCAUGGUUAAGUGGGAAACGAUGUGGGAAGGCCCAGACAGCCAGGAUGUUGGCUUAGAAGCAGCCAUCAUUUAAAGAAAGCGUAAUAGCUCACUGGUCGAGUCGGCCUGCGCGGAAGAUGUAACGGGGCUAAACCAUGCACCGAAGCUGCGGCAGCGACACUAUGUGUUGUUGGGUAGGGGAGCGUUCUGUAAGCCUGUGAAGGUGUGCUGUGAGGCAUGCUGGAGGUAUCAGAAGUGCGAAUGCUGACAUAAGUAACGAUAAAGCGGGUGAAAAGCCCGCUCGCCGGAAGACCAAGGGUUCCUGUCCAACGUUAAUCGGGGCAGGGUGAGUCGACCCCUAAGGCGAGGCCGAAAGGCGUAGUCGAUGGGAAACGGGUUAAUAUUCCCGUACUUGGUGUUACUGCGAAGGGGGGACGGAGAAGGCUAUGUUGGCCGGGCGACGGUUGUCCCGGUUUAAGCGUGUAGGUGUGUGUUCCAGGUAAAUCCGGUUCACUUUAACACUGAGGCGUGAUGACGAGGCACUACGGUGCUGAAGCAACAAAUGCCCUGCUUCCAGGAAAAGCCUCUAAGCAUCAGGUAACAUCAAAUCGUACCCCAAACCGACACAGGUGGUCAGGUAGAGAAUACCAAGGCGCUUGAGAGAACUCGGGUGAAGGAACUAGGCAAAAUGGUGCCGUAACUUCGGGAGAAGGCACGCUGACACGUAGGUGAAGUGAUUUACUCAUGGAGCUGAAGUCAGUCGAAGAUACCAGCUGGCUGCAACUGUUUAUUAAAAACACAGCACUGUGCAAACACGAAAGUGGACGUAUACGGUGUGACGCCUGCCCGGUGCCGGAAGGUUAAUUGAUGGGG